rnacentral:rRNA from 1 species
GAUGAACGCUCGCGGCAGGCCUAACACAUGCAAGUCGAGGGGUAGAAGGAGCUUGCUCCUUUGAGACCGGCGCACGGGUGCGUAACGCGUAUGCAAUCUACCUUGUACAGGGGAAUAGCCCAGAGAAAUUUGGAUUAAUGCCCCAUAGUAUAUAACCUUCGCAUGUUGGUUAUAUUAAAGUUCCAACGGUACAAGAUGAGCAUGCGUCCCAUUAGUUAGUUGGUAAGGUAACGGCUUACCAAGACGAUGAUGGGUAGGGGUCCUGAGAGGGAGAUCCCCCACACUGGUACUGAGACACGGACCAGACUCCUACGGGAGGCAGCAGUGAGGAAUAUUGGUCAAUGGUCGCAAGACUGAACCAGCCAUGCCGCGUGCAGGAAGACGGUACUAUGGAUGGUAAACUGCUUUUAGACAGGAAGAAACCCUCCCACGUGUGGGAGCUUGACGGUACUGGAGGAAUAAGGAUCGGCUAACUCCGUG